CAGCCAAAGCCGAGGAGGAGCGGCAGAGCGAGGAGCUGCUGAAACAGACGGCAGCUGAGAGGCAGAAGAUCGUCCGGGAGUGGCAGGAGCUGCGAGGGUUUCUGGAGGAGCAGGAGCAGCGGCUGCUGGCCCGGCUGGAGGAGUUGGAGGGAGCCAUUGUCCAGAGAAGGGAUGAGGGCGUCUGCAGCCUGUCCUGGGAGAUUUCCCUGCUCAGCGAGAGGGGAGGAGAGAAGGGGCAGCAGCCGCUGAGCCAGCCCCUGCAGGGUGCUGGGAGCACUGGGGGC